AAGCUAGGGAGCGAAUGGGAUUAGAUACCCCAGUAGUCCUAGCCGUAAACGAUGGAUUACUAGGCGCUGUGCGUAUCGACCCGUGCAUUUGCUGUAGCUGAAAGUAUAAGUCC
rnacentral:rRNA from 11 species